AGAGGGUGCGAGCGUUAAUCGGAAUUACUGGGCGUAAAGGGCGCGUAGGCGGCAUUACAAGUCAGAUGUGAAAGCCCCGGGCUUAACCUGGGAAUUGCAUCUGAUACUGUAUAGCUUGAGUUCUGGAGGGGGUAGUGGAAUUUCCGGUGUAGCGGUGAAAUGCGCAGAUAUCAGGAGGAACACCGAUGGCGAAGGCAGAUCUCUGGGCCGUAACUGACGCUGAGGAGCGAAGGCCAGGGGAGCGAAAGGGAUUAGAUACCCCUGUAGUCCUGGCAGUAAACGGUGCACGUUUGGUGUGGGCGGUUUCGACCCCGUCCGUGCCGGAGCUAACGCGUUAAGCGAGCCGCCUGGGGAGUCGGCCGCAAGGCUA
rnacentral:rRNA from 1 species